rnacentral:other from 1 species
AAUUUCCUGCGGCGUUGGUGGCUGCCAAUAUCGUUUUAUGAUCUAUGUCUGUUUGUUAAGGGAACCCAAAUACGCGUAACGGCAGUAAACCGGGCUUGCACCCGGAAACUUUAAGUUGCUGCAAGGGGUACCCACCUGGAUUUAUCCAGGUCAAAAACUGAGGUAAAACGGCGUUGCGGGAAAUAC